rnacentral:lncRNA from 1 species
CUCCGCUCCUCAGCGCUUUUUUCAGACAAUCUGCUCAUUAGCUGGGCUGCACGAUUCUCACCUGUUUGUGCCCCCACCUUGACGCUGGGGGAAAGACGCCAGUCCCUGGGGGCCACAGCCAGUCCGAUUGCAUUGAUGCGAGAUGUCCAGACGGGCCAAUUCGCAGAGACAGGAAGCAGAUGGGUGGGGGUCCGGGCUGGGGAGGGGCUGGGAGUGACUGCUGAAGGGGACGGGGCUUCCUUUUGGGGGUGAUGGAAUGUUCUGGAACUAGAGGUGCGGGCGGACGAUCUGUGAAUGUGCUAGAAGGCGUUGAAUGGAACAUUUGUAACAG